CCCAGUCCAUUUAAAAUCUUAAUUUACGGGGCCCAAAACCAUUUACACAGCCCAAUAAACUAAAUACAGUCGGCCCAACAUGGCCCAAUUUCAUUAACUCAAGCCUAAAUUAACCCAAUAAACUUGGGUCAAUUCUAACCCAAUUACAGGGCCCAAUUGGCCUAAAGUUCCAAAAACCCUAACAGAUUAGUAGCAGGUCAGCAGCCGAAUCGUCCAGGCGCCACCAUCACCCCCACGUCGUUGCUCCCACGUCGCAGCAACUCCCACACACGCACGUACCUAUAACAGACCACAACCACGAGCAGCAAGCAAGAGAAGAAACUGAAAAUAUUAUAGAUUGUAAACAGUUUUUUAUUUUGGGGAUAUAAAAGCAAAGUAAAAAUCUGUAAAAGAAAGGGGGGACGAAUUUUGUAUUGAAAGAGAAAGAAAAUACAAAAGAAAAAAGAGAAAAGAAAGAUUUUGAAAGUGAGUUUCUUUUUCGUUUCUGUUUUUACUGUUUUCUUUUUUUCGAUUAGUUCUUUCUUUUGUAAAAAAUAAAGAAAAGGAGAAACUUACCUGAGUCGGAGUCGGCGGCGGAGCUUUGACGGCUACGGUGGCUAGGGCUUUAAGGAAAACCUAGCAAAGAAAUCCUCCCCUUUCCCCUCUGUUUAUUGUUUUAAACAAAAAGAAAAAAAAU
rnacentral:lncRNA from 1 species